rnacentral:rRNA from 1 species
GCUAUGUGUGUGUGAGCCAGCCCCCCCUGGGUAUUCAGACUGACGGAGCAACGCCGCGUGAGUGAUGAAGGCUUUCGGGUCGUAAAACUCUGUUGUUAGGGAAGAACAAGUGCUAGUUGAAUAAGCUGGCACCUUGACGGUACCUAACCAGAAAGCCACGGCUAACUACGUGCCACCAGCCGCGGAAAUUA